rnacentral:rRNA from 1 species
CGUGGGUAACCUGCCCAAGAGAUCGGGAUAACACCUGGAAACAGAUGCUAAUACCGGAUAACAACAGAUGAUGCCUAUCAACUGUUUAAAAGAUGGUUCUGCUAUCACUCUUGGAUGGACCUGCGGUGCAUUAGCUAGUUGGUAGGGUAACGGCCUACCAGGGCGAUGAUGCAUAGCCGAGUUGAGAGACUGAUCGGCCACAUUGGGACUGAGACACGGCCCAAACUCCUACGGGAGGCAGCAGGU